ensembl:lncRNA
AGCUCCAUGACAGGCCACACCCCUCUGAUGGGUCCUGCCGCGUUUGCAGAAGCAACAAUAAGGGAGGGAGAGGGGGAGCCCAAGGUAGAGGGAGUCCUGCGGCAGUGGUGUCCCUCUGUCGUCCUCCACCCAGGGCUGAGCUCAGUGCCUCCCGUGUGCCAGGCGCAGGACAGAACACCGACAGAGCUCCCGGCUGUCUUUCCCAGGGCUCGGCCGGUGGGCCUGAAGAGGGCCCCCCAAAACCUGGAUCCUCCCCUGUCCCCUGCCCUCGGGGAGCUGCCCAGAUCCACAGCCACCCUUGGAGCACAGCCAGCCAGAAAGGCGGAAUUGCAGAUGGCAGAGCUGUGUGCAGCUGUGGGACUCCUCAAAGCCGUCUUGGGUUAUAUUCCUGGAAAAGGCACUGCAGGACAAAAAGAAGAAGCUGAUCUUGCUCCUUUUCCACGGAUUGAGCUUUAGAACAUUCUGGGGCUGCCGGAUGCUGUUCAGUGGGUGCUGAGGGGUAGAGACCCUACGGUCUCCCACCGCGAGCCUCGCUGUCCUCCUGCUGCCAGAUUUGCCAGAGAGAAUGCUUGAUGCCGCCGGGCCCUCCCGCCAGGCAGACCUCUGACAAAGUCACCACCAGAGGGGACUUUCAGCCAGGGCUGGCUCCAGUCAGCUUCUGAAACAAGAGGUGCUUUCUUCCUUGCACAACCUUCAGAGAAAAGGGGAACAACUUGACAUCCCAAAGGGCUUCUUGGAAGCAGGGGACAAGGUUAAUCAAGGAAAGAUGGGGCAGGAGGCAUCGAGGGCCCCCUGACUGGUGCUCUGAAGCUUGUGCUUUUUGACUUUGGCUGGGAGAGGGGCAACCAUUUAAGAAAGUGGGUAGGAACAGGGUGAAUAUGGUAUAAUGUAAAUAUAAU